rnacentral:rRNA from 1 species
AGACGUCUACAUUACGAUACCCCGGUAGUCCCAGCCGUAAACUAUGCUCGCUAGGUGUCAGGCAUGGCGCGACCGUGUCUGGUGCCGCAGGGAAGCCGUGAAGCGAGCCACCUGGGAAGUACGGCCGCAAGGCUGAACUUAAGGAAUUGGCGGGGGAGCACAACAACGGGUGGAGCCUGCGGUUUAAUUGGACUCAACGCCGGACAACUCACCGGGGGACGACAGGCAAUAUGUAGGCCAGGCUGAAGACCUUGUCUGAAUCGCUG